rnacentral:rRNA from 1 species
UUCUGGCUCAGGAUGAACGCUAGCGGCAGGCUUAACACAUGCAAGGUCGAGGGGCAUCGGGAGUAGCAAUACUUGCCGGCGACCGGCGCAAGGGUGCGUAACGCGUGAGCAACAUGCCCGUAUCAGGGGGAUAAUCCAUGGAAACGUGGUCUAAUACCCCAUAGUAAUUAUGUAAGGCAUCUUAUAUAAUUUAAAGCUUUGGUGGAUACGGAUUGGCUCGCGUGACAUUAGCUGGAUGGUAAGGUAACGGCUUACCAUGGCUACGAUGUCUAGGGGUUCUGAGACGGAAGGUCCCCCACACUGGAACUGAGUCACGGUCCAGACUCCUACGGGAGGCAGCAGUGAGGAAUAUUGGACAAUGGAUGGAAAUCUGAUCCAGCCAUGCCGCGUGCAGGAAGACGGCCCUAUGGGUUGUAAACUGCUUUUGUAUGGGAGCAAUAAGGGCUACGUGUAGUCCGAUGGGAGUACCAUACGAAUAAGCACCGGCUAACUCCGUGCCAGCCGCCGC